rnacentral:rRNA from 1 species
AGGGAAUAUUGCAAAAUGGGCGAAAGCCCGAUGCAGCAACGCCGCGUGGGCGAUGAAGGCCUUCGGGUCGUAAAGCCCUUUUUGAGGGGAUGAAGAAGGACAGUACCCUCAGAAUAAGCCUCGGCUAACUACGUGCCAGCAGCCGCGGUAAAACGUAGGAGGCGAGCGUUAUCCGGAUUUACUGGGCGUAAAGCGCGUGCAGGCGGAUUGGAGAGUUGGAUGUGAAAGCUCCCGGCUUAACUGGGAGAGGUCGUUCAAUACUUCCAGUCUUGAGUGCAGUAGAGGGAAGUGGAAUUCCGGGUGUAGUGGUGAAAUGCGUAGAUAGCCGGAGGAACACCAGUGGCGAAAGCGGCUUCCUGGACUGUAACUGACGCUCAGACGCGAAAGCUAGGGUAGCAAACG